GAAAGCUUCAAAUGCGAACACGUGUCUCAACUGUACGGCUUUCUUUUGCAGCUGUGUCGACCACGAUGACCAUGAAUGGCGUGGGCUCAUGGGAAGUUUCCGUGCCAUCUGCUGGGAUGAGUAGAUCAAGAUCGGUUAAAUUCAAGGCCUCCUUCACAUGAACUUUGAGAGCAUGAUGACCAUGGGUUGUGUUUGUAGUGUUGGCACAAUGAGCUCUCACCAAAGACCUGGAACUCCCAAGGUACUUCUGUCGUUAGU